AGUUAUCCUUUUUCUCCCUCCCUCCUAUAUGUUUUCUGAUCCAGCUUGUUCUCUCUCUCUCACACACACAUCCUCCCCCUUCUCUGAGAAGGGUUGAGGGGCUAGAGAAAGGAGCUCUGUGCAUCCGGUGUUGUUAAAGGCUGACUUAAUCCCUGAAGCUCGGUGAGGCCCAGGUUGUGCGCUUCGCGUCAGUUAAUUGGCACUUUAGUGUAGGCGUCAAGGUGCUUAGCCAGGUGCAUCUUCACCAAUGGAUCUAUCUUUAGGUUGAUAAUGGAACGUGAAGGGAUUCUCAAGAACUCGAAAUCUAUCAUGCCUGCUGCCUUUGUAUCGUUUAAUUCAAGAUGCGGGGCAGCUGUUUGUGCACAAACACAGCAAAGCAAGAACCCCACAUUGUGGCUGACUAAUUGGGCCCCUGAACCACGAGAUGUAUAUUGGAACAAUCUGUCUAUAUCUUUUUUUUCUCUCAGCCUCCGCAAGCUUUUGAUUUCCGUGGCAGUGUUUGCUUUGGUAUUCUUUUACAUGAUACCUAUUACCUUUGUGCAAUCGUUGGGUAAUCUGGAAGGUUUAGAAAAGGUUGCACCUUUUUUGAGACCACUAAUUGAAUGGAAGAUUAUCAAGUCGUUUCUACAGGGUUUUCUUCCUGGUUUAGCUCUUAAAGUCUUCUUGCUUGUUCUUCCUGCCAUUCUGAUGUUUAUGUCAAAGAUUGAGGGACAUGUGGCGUUAUCAGUGCUCGAGAGGAGAACAGCAGCAAAAUACUAUUAUUUUAUGCUAGUCAAUGUAUUCCUGGGGAGCAUAGUAGCAGGGACAGCUUUCCAGCAACUUCAUGCUUUCCUAUUUCCUUCACCAAUCAGCUACUCAGUACACACUCUCUCUCUCUCUCUCUCUCUCUCUGCUUAUUCUCAUAGUUCACAAAAUCAUGAUGACUGCACUAUGUUCAUUAGCUUUUGACACAUGAUAGAUUAGAUUGGUCUCUCAGUGAAAGAUGUAUGCCAGUGGGUGGGACACAGUAGCUUUUGGUACUCUUUGUGGUUAAAUAUGCGGUGUUCAAGGAGCUGAAAGUAAUUUAAAUUUCUCCAUUAGAUUGUAGUUUUAGUGAGCAGUAAGUGUGAGUUCGACUAACUUUUCACGCUUAUAGAUGAGAAAUGCUCUACCAUCCUAAUCUUCAAUGUACUGUAUACGCUCAUUUGAUAAGUUGUAAGCAUUUCAUUUUUAAUUUGAAAACCAAAGUAAAAUGGUAAUGAUUUCGGAAUAUGUUGUUGUAGUGUUGUGUUGGGCCCGUGUGAAGUACGGGCAACCAGUAUCUAGUCUAAUAUAUAUAAAUGGCCAAGUUGUACGAACACAACUCUUUCAAGUUGUAUGGAAGGCACUAUGGUACUGUAAAUUUGGCUAUAUUUCAUUGAUUAUGCUCCUGAGGAUCAAUUCACGUGUAAGGAGGCUUGACUUAUGUGACAGAAUGUUCGAGUUCCGGAGGUAGAAUAUCAAGCAGAUCAAACCAGUAGAAAGGGUUGAUUUCAGAUUCUUCAAUUUCUAAGCCGCCCUUCAGGAGAACCCAUGAAGAUAUGCACUUGUUCAAUAUAAUAUUGAAUCAAGAAAUCAGAUGGUUGUCAACACAGGUACCUCCAGUUUCAUGGUUGCAGACAGAAUCACGAACAACAUCAAGGAAAAUAUAAAAGAAAAUAUGAUACCCAUGAAGCUGCGAAAUCCCCCUUAAUGUAGCUGAUAAGAAGGUACCGCAGAAAUGCUACCUAGCGAUAUUGAAAACUAAAGUGGUAGUAUAACACUAUUGCCGACUCCCUAAUCUUCAAGAACGAAGGAACAUUAAAUGGUGACGUGUGGGCCUUGGGAAUCAAAUAUGUACAAGGAGUUCAAUGACCAUCCAAACUUGCAGCUGUAGUUGGCAUUUGUGUCAGCCUUGGUCUUUUUGGCCUGUAUCUGUUUCUUCCCAUCCCAUUGGUCAAUCUUGUGGCAUUUCUUCAAACUAAGAUGAAGCGAGGAUAUUUAAACCUGAAAUUUU